rnacentral:rRNA from 1 species
AAUGAACGCUGGCGGCGCGCCUAAUACAUGCAAGUCGAGCGAGAAGACGUAGCAAUACGUUUGUAAAGCGGCGAACGGGUGAGGAAUACAUGGGUAACCUACCCUAGAGUGGGGAAUAACUAGCCGAAAGGUUAGCUAAUACCGCGUACGCUCCUUGGACUUCGGUUCAGGGAGGAAAGCGAUGCCGAGGGUAUCGCGCUCUUGGAUGGGCUCAUGUCCUAUCAGCUUGUUGGGAGGUAACGGCUCACCAAGGCUUCGACGGGUAGCUGGUCUGAGAGGACGAUCAGCCACACUGGCACUGCGACACGGGCCAGACUCCUACGGGAGCAGCAGUAAGGAAUAUUGCGCAAUGGGCGAAAGCCUGACGCAGCGACGCCGCGUGGGGGAUGAA